CGUAGAGUAGAGCAGUUUGGUAGCUCGCAGGACUCAUUAUCCUGAGGUCGCAGGUUCAAAUCCUGCCUCUGCAA
rnacentral:tRNA from 1 species